UGUACCUACGGGGGGCAGCAGUGAGGAAUAUUGGUCAAUGGGCGGGAGCCUGAACCAGCCAAGUCGCGUGAGGGAAGACGGUCCUACGGAUUGUAAACCUCUUUUGCCGGGGAGCAACGGGGUCCUUGCGAGGGCCCGAUGAGAGUACCCGGAGAAAAAGCAUCGGCUAACUCCGUGCCAGCAGCCGCGGUAAUACGGAGGAUGCGAGCGUUAUCCGGAUUUAUUGGGCGUAAAGGGAACGCAGGCGGUCUUUUAAGUCUGAUGUGAAAGCCUUCGGCUUAACCGGAGUAGUGCAUUGGAAACUG
rnacentral:rRNA from 1 species